UAGACGCUGGCGGCAUGACCUAAAACAUGCAAGUCGAGCGGUAACGGCCCCGUUCGGGGUACACGAGCGGCGGACGGGUGAGUAACGCGUGGAAUCUACCCAACUGAGGGAUAAGCAUUGGAAACGAUGUCUAAUACCGCAUAUGGUCUUCGGAUUAAAGCUUCGGCGGGUUUGGGAAGAGCCCGCGUAAGAUUAGCUAGUUGGUGAGGUAAAGGCUCACCAAGGCGACGAUCUUUAACUGGUUUGAGAGGAUGAUCAGUCACACUGGAACUGAGACACGGUCCAGACUCCUACGGGAGGCAGCAGUUAGGAAUUUUCCACAAUGGGCGAAAGCCUGAUGGAGCAAUGCCGCGUGCAGGAUGAAGGCCCUAGGGUUGUAAACUGCUUUUAUACGUGAAGAAUAUGACGGUAACGUAUGAAUAAGGAUCGGCUAACUCCGUG
rnacentral:rRNA from 1 species